AGGACACGCCAUGCACACCACGCCCACGCUUCGCCGCAGCUGUAGGCUGCCUGUCAUCAGAGCACCUGGCAGUAAUCAGAAGGACAGCAUAAAAUCCAGUCACUCCUUUGGAUCCUGCACCGGAACUCGUUAACUCUAGUAUUGCCUCCCUCGAUCCUCGAUCACUCGCCUGGACUCGGACCUUGAUGGCUUGCCGCCUGCCCUCAACCUCCUGCCUGUCCCCGGAUCUUCCUUGUGCCUACCCCUCCUUGACCAGACAAAGCUUUCAUUCAACACGCAUGUACAACAUCCUCUUGUUUUAUUCACAUGGUUAACUUUACACUUAAUCAUGCAACCAUUACUUAGAGUAGCAUACACAUCCCACACAAUCAUCAAAGGUUACAAUAAACCUGGUAACCUUAA